CUUUAUUCUUGGGGUCUGUAUGGGUGUAAAGCUAAAAGACCAACUUCCUCCAAGCUCUGGCAACAACAGGAUAAAAUCCAAGCGAAUUUUUACCGAUCCAAUCCGCCUACAAAACAACACAAAUUCCCGAGCUCGUUUGAUCCAGAGGAAGCCACUUGAAAUAUCCAUAAGUAGCAGAAACAAAAUACAUUAUUCUGACGGACAUACAAUACACUGCAAUAGUCUCUGUUUUCGGCGGUAAUUCGA